rnacentral:tRNA from 1 species
GCCGAUGUGGCGAAAUUGGUAGACGCGCUGCGUUCAGGGCGCAGUGGGGAUUUCCCCGUGGGGGUUCGAGUCCCUCCAUCGGCACCA